rnacentral:rRNA from 1 species
CAUCACUACGCUAGAUGCAUAUCAAUAAGCGGAGGAAAAGAAACUAACAAGGAUUCCCCUAGUAACGGCGAGUGAAGCGGGAAGAGCUCAAAUUUGAAAUCUUAAAGGGUUUCCCUUUACGAAUUGUAGUUUAAAGAAGUGUUUUCUGUUGGAGUUUCGGUAAAAGUUCUUUGGAAUAGGACAUCAUAGAGGGUGAGAAUCCCGUAUUUGACCGUUACUUUCCAGCUGUGUGAUACACUUUCAAAGAGUCGGAUUGUUUGGGAAUGCAGUCCAAAAUGGGUGGUAAAUUUCAUCUAAAGCUAAAUAUUGGCGAGAGACCGAUAGCGAACAAGUACCGUGAGGGAAAGAUGAAAAGAACUUUGAAAAGAGAGUUAAACAGUACGUGAAAUUGUCAAAAGGGAAGCGUUUGACACCAGUGUUGUUUAGGUUGAAAAUCAAUUCAAUAAUUUUUGAUUUUGAGUAGUAUUGACUUCAUCAGCUUGCUGCUUUCUUUUCCGAAAUUAUUGAAUGCACUUUUCAGUUAACAAGUCAACAUCAAUUUCUUUUGUUGUAAAAGGGUAAGAGGAAGGUGGCUUACGCUUCGGCGUAAGUGUUUAUAGCCUUUUACCUCUGCAAUCGGAGAGAUUGAGGACAGCAGCGUAGACUCCUUCGGGGGUUAGAUACACUUGUACUAAGCUAUAGCCUUGUAUAGACAACUUGUUGACUAUGCUCAGUCAUGUAGCUUACUCGCUUGUGCUAUUUUACCUACGCUUAGGAUGUUGAUAUGCAUGACUGAUA